rnacentral:rRNA from 1 species
CAGUAGCCGCGGUAAUACGGAGGGUGCAAGCGUUAAUCGGAAUUACUGGGCGUAAAGCGCACGCAGGCGGUCUGACAAGUCAGAUGUGAAAUCCCCGGGCUUAACCUGGGAACUGCAUUUGAAACUGUCAGGCUGGAGUCUUGUAGAGGGGGGUAGAAUUCCAGGUGUAGCGGUGAAAUGCGUAGAGAUCUGGAGGAAUACCGGUGGCGAAGGCGGCCCCCUGGACAAAGACUGACGCUCAGGUGCGAAAGCGUGGGGAGCAAACAGGAUUAGAGACCCCGGUAGUCCCUGUCUCUUAUAA